UGGCGGAAGGGUGAGUAACGCGUGGGUAACCUACCCCUAAGUUGGGGACAACCCUGGGAAACUGGGGCUAAUACCGAAUGUGGUUGUUCCGUGAUGCGGAACGGACUAAAGGUGGGGAUUCUUCGGGACCUGUCGCUUGAUGAGAAGCUCGCGUCCUAUCAGCUUGUUGGUGAGGUAAUGGCUCACCAAGGCUUACGGGUAGCUGGUCUGAGAGGAUGGUCAGCCACACUGGGACUGAGACACUGCCCAGACUCCUACGGGAGGCUGCAGUCGAGGAUCAUUCGCAAUGCGCGAAAGCGUGACGAUGCGACGCUGCGUGUAGGAUGACGGCCUUCGGGUUGUAAACUACUGUCAUUAGGGAGCAACAGUCUUGGGCCUAACAGGUCCAGGAUCUGAUAGUACCUCAAAAGGAAGUCACGGCUAACUCUGUGCCAGCAGCCGCGGUAAUACAGAGGUGGCGAACGUUGUUCGGAUUUACUGGGCGUAAAGAGUACGUAGGUGGUGUUGUAUGUCGGAUGUGAAAGCCCAUCGCUCAACUAUGGAAUUGCAUUCGAAACUGCAGGACUAGAGUGCAGGAGAGGAGAGCGGAAUUCUUGGUGUAGCGGUGAAAUGCGUUGAUAUCAAGAAGAACACCGGUGGCGAAGGCGGCUCUCUGGAAUGUUACUGACACUGAGGCACGAAAGCUGGGGGAGCAAACAGGAUUAGAUACCCUGGUAGUCCCAGCUGUAAACGGUGUGAACUUGGUGUGGGAGGUAUUGACCCCUCCCGUGCCGGAGCUAACGCGUUAAGUUCACCGCCUGGGGAGUACGGCCGCAAGGCUAAAACUCAAAGAAAUUGACGGGGGCCCGCACAAGCGGAGGAGCAUGUGGCUCAAUUCGAUGCAACGCGAAGAACCUUACCAGGGCUUGACAUGUAACUGCAAAUCCUGUGAAAGCAGGACUCUUUCGAAAGUGAUACACAGGUGCUGCAUGGCUGUCGUCAGUUCGUGCCGUGAGGUGUUGGGUUAAGUCCCGCAACGAACGCAACCCUUGUGGUUAGUUGCUACCGACGGUGAUGAGCCGUCGGGCACUCUAGCCAGACUGCCCGUGCAAGCGGGAGGAAGGUGGGGAUGACGUCAAGUCAGUAUGGCCCUUACGCCCUGGGCUGCACACGUGCUACAAUGACCGGUACAGAGGGAAGCAAGACCGCGAGGUGGAGCAAAUCCCCAAAACCGGCCUCAGUUCGGAUUGGAGUCUGCAACUCGACUCCAUGAAGUUGGAUUCGCUAGUAACGGCGUAUCAGCUACGACGCCGUGAAUACGUUCCCGGGCCUUGUACACACCGCCCGUCACAUCAUGAAAGCCGUCUGCACCCGAAGUCGCUGUUCUAACCUGCAAAGGAAGUAGGCGCCGAAGGUGUGGGUGGUGAUUGGGAUG
rnacentral:rRNA from 1 species